GCCUGGCUGGCUCAGUGGUUGAGCAUCUGCCUUCCACUCAGGGUGUGAUCCCGGUCUGGGAUCGAGUCCCACAUCAGGCU
rnacentral:tRNA from 1 species